UAGAACCACUACUGUAAGUCGCUCUGGAUAAGAGCGUCUGCUAAAUGACUAAAA
rfam:Salmo salar isolate Sally breed double haploid chromosome ssa04, whole genome shotgun sequence.